rnacentral:misc_RNA from 1 species
GAUGAAGAACGCAGCGAAAUGCGAUAAGUAAUGUGAAUUGCAGAAUUCAGUGAAUCAUCGAAUCUUUGAACGCACAUUGCGCCCGCCAGUAUUCUGGCGGGCAUGCCUGUUCGAGCGUCAUUUCAACCAUCAAGCCCCCCGGCUUGUGUUGGGGACCUGCGGCUGCCGCAGGCCCUGAAAAGCAGUGGCGGGCUCGCUGUCACACCGAGCGUAGUAGAUCUCAUCUCGCUCAGGGCGUGCUGCGGGUUCCGGCCGUUAAACCACCUUCAUAACCCAAGGUUGACCUCGGAUCAGGUAGGAAGACCCGCUGAACUUAAGCAUAUCAAUGAGCGGAGGA